AUCGGUAAGGGAUGGGCAUGCGUAGGAUUAGUUAGUUGGCGGGGUAACGGCCCACCAAGACUGUGAUCCUUAGGGGUUCUGAGAGGAAGGUCCCCCACACUGGCACUGAGAUACGGGCCAGACUCCUACGGGAGGCAGCAGUAGGGAAUAUUGGGCAAUGGGCGGGAGCCUGACCCAGCCAUGCCGCGUGCAGGAAGAAGGCGUUAUGCGUUGUAAACUGCUUUUAUACGGGAAGAAAAGGCCCAUGCGUGGGACAUUGCCGGUACCGUAUGAAUAAGCACCGGCUAACUCCGUGCCAGCAGCCGCGGUAAUACGGAGGGUGCAAGCGUUGUCCGGAUUUAUUGGGUUUAAAGGGUGCGUAGGCGGCCCGUUAAGUCAGCGGUGAAAGUCUGUGGCUCAACCAUAGAAGCGCCGUUGAUACUGAUGGGCUUGAGUGCCGUAUGGGUACAUGGAAUUGAUGGUGUAGCGGUGAAAUGCAUAGAUACCAUCAGGAACACCGAUAGCGUAGGCAUUGUACUGUGCGGCAAC
rnacentral:rRNA from 1 species